rnacentral:rRNA from 1 species
GUGGGGAAUAUUGCGCAAUGGGGGAAACCCUGACGCAGCAACGCCGCGUGAAGGAUGAAGGUUUUCGGAUUGUAAACUUCUUUUGUCGAGGACGAAACAAAUGACGGUACUUGACGAAUAAGCCACGGCUAACUACGUGCCAGCAGCCGCGGUAAUACGUAGGUGGCGAGCGUUGUCCGGAUUUACUGGGUGUAAAGGGCGAGUAGGCGGAUGAGCAUGUCAGAUGUGAAAUACCGGGGCUUAACCCCGGGGCUGCAUUUGAAACUGCUUAUCUGGAGUGAUGGAGAGGCAGGCGGAAUGCCCGGUGUAGCGGUGGAAUGCGUAGAUAUCGGGAGGAACACCAGUGGCGAAGGCGGCCUGCUGGACAUUAACUGACGCUGAGGAGCGAAAGCGUGGGGAGCAAACAGGAUUAGAUACCCGUGUAGUCC